AGAGUUUGAUCCUGGCUCAGGAUGAACGCUGGCGGCGUGCCUAACACAUGCAAGUCGAGCGAUUCUCUUCGGAGAAGAGCGGCGGACGGGUGAGUAACGCGUGGGUAACCUGCCCUGUACACACGGAUAACAUACCGAAAGGUAUGCUAAUACGAGAUAAUAUACUUUUAUCGCAUGGUAGAAGUAUCAAAGCUUUUGCGGUACAGGAUGGACCCGCGUCUGAUUAGCUAGUUGGUAAGGUAACGGCUUACCAAGGCGACAAUCAGUAGCCGACCUGAGAGGGUGAUCGGCCACAUUGGAACUGAGACACGGUCCAAACUCCUACGGGAGGCAGCAGUGGGGAAUAUUGCACAAUGGGCGAAAGCCUGAUGCAGCAACGCCGCGUGAGCGAUGAAGGCCUUCGGGUCGUAAAGCUCUGUCCUCAAGGAAGAUAAUGACGGUACUUGAGGAGGAAGCCCCGGCUAACUACGUGCCAGCAGCCGCGGUAAUACGUAGGGGGCUAGCGUUAUCCGGAAUUACUGGGCGUAAAGGGUGCGUAGGUGGUUUCUUAAGUCAGAGGUGAAAGGCUACGGCUCAACCGUAGUAAGCCUUUGAAACUGGGAAACUUGAGUGCAGGAGAGGAGAGUGGAAUUCCUAGUGUAGCGGUGAAAUGCGUAGAUAUUAGGAGGAACACCAGUUGCGAAGGCGGCUCUCUGGACUGUAACUGACACUGAGCACGAAAGCGUGGGAGCAAACAGGAUUAGAUACCCUGGUAGU
rnacentral:rRNA from 1 species